rnacentral:rRNA from 1 species
UACGGGGGGUAGCAAGCGUUGUUCGGAUUUACUGGGCGUAAAGGGCGCGUAGGCGGCGUGACAAGUCACUUGUGAAAUCUCCGGGCUUAACUCGGAACGGUCAAGUGAUACUGUCGGACUAGAGUACAGAAGGGGCAACUGGAAUUCUCGGUGUAGCGGUGAAAUGCGUAGAUAUCGAGAGGAACACCUGCGGCGAAGGCGGGUUGCUGGGCUGAUACUGACGCUGAGGCGCGAAAGCCAGGGGAGCGAACGGG